ACCGAACCGACUAAUGUUGAAAAAUUAGCGGAUGACCUGUGGCUGGGGGUGAAAGGCCAAUCAAACCGGGAGAUAGCUGGUUCUCCCCGAAAGCUAUUUAGGUAGCGCCUCGUGAAUUCAUCUCCGGGGGUAGAGCACUGUUUCGGCUAGGGGGCCAUCCCGGCUUACCAACCCGAUGCAAACUGCGAAUACCGGAGAAUGUUAUCACGGGAGACACACGGCGGGUGCUAACGUCCGUCGUGAAGAGGGAAACAACCCAGACCGCCAGCUAAGGUCCCAAAGUCAUGGUUAAGUGGGAAACGAUGUGGGAAGGCCCAGACAGCCAGGAUGUUGGCUUAGAAGCAGCCAUCAUUUAAAGAAAGCGUAAUAGCUCACUGGUCGAGUCGGCCUGCGCGGAAGAUGUAACGGGGCUAAACCAUGCACCGAAGCUGCGGCAGCGACACUGUGUGUUGUUGGGUAGGGGAGCGUUCUGUAAGCCUGUGAAGGUGUGUCGUGAGGCAUGCUGGAGGUAUCAGAAGUGCGAAUGCUGACAUAAGUAACGAUAAAGCGGGUGAAAAGCCCGCUCGCCGGAAGACCAAGGGUUCCUGUCCAACGUUAAUCGGGGCAGGGUGAGUCGACCCCUAAGGCGAGGCCGAAAGGCGUAGUCGAUGGGAAACGGGUUAAUAUUCCCGUACUUGGUGUUACUGCGAAGGGGGGACGGAGAAGGCUAUGUUGGCCGGGCGACGGUUGUCCCGGUUUAAGCGUGUAGGUGUGUGUUCCAGGUAAAUCCGGUUCACUUUAACACUGAGGCGUGACGACGAGGCACUACGGUGCUGAAGCAACAAAUGCCCUGCUUCCAGGAAAAGCCUCUAAGCAUCAGGUAACAUCAAAUCGUACCCCAAACCGACACAGGUGGUCAGGUAGAGAAUACCAAGGCGCUUGAGAGAACUCGGGUGAAGGAACUAGGCAAAAUGGUGCCGUAACUUCGGGAGAAGGCACGCUGACACGUAGGUGAAGUGAUUUACUCAUGGAGCUGAAGUCAGUCGAAGAUACCAGCUGGCUGCAACUGUUUAUUAAAAACACAGCACUGUGCAAACACGAAAGUGGACGUAUACGGUGUGACGCCUGCCCGGUGCCGGAAGGUUAAUUGAUGGGGUCAGCGCAAGCGAAGCUCCUGAUCGAAGCCCCGGUAAACGGCGGCCGUAACUAUAACGGUCCUAAGGUAGCGAAAUUCCUUGUCGGGUAAGUUCCGACCUGCACGAAUGGCGUAAUGAUGGCCAGGCUGUCUCCACCCGAGACUCAGUGAAAUUGAACUCGCUGUGAAGAUGCAGUGUACCCGCGGCAAGACGGAAAGACCCCGUGAACCUUUACUAUAGCUUGACACUGAACAUUGAGCCUUGAUGUGUAGGAUAGGUGGGAGGCUUUGAAGUGUGGACGCCAGUCUGCAUGGAGCCGACCUUGAAAUACCACCCUUUAAUGUUUGAUGUUCUAACGUGGACCCGUUACCCGGGUUGCGGACAGUGUCUGGUGGGUAGUUUGACUGGGGCGGUCUCCUCCUAAAGAGUAACGGAGGAGCACGAAGGUUGGCUAAUCCUGGUCGGACAUCAGGAGGUUAGUGCAAUGGCAUAAGCCAGCUUGACUGCGAGCGUGACGGCGCGAGCAGGUGCGAAAGCAGGUCAUAGUGAUCCGGUGGUUCUGAAUGGAAGGGCCAUCGCUCAACGGAUAAAAGGUACUCCGGGGAUAACAGGCUGAUACCGCCCAAGAGUUCAUAUCGACGGCGGUGUUUGGCACCUCGAUGUCGGCUCAUCACAUCCUGGGGCUGAAGUAGGUCCCAAGGGUAUGGCUGUUCGCCAUUUAAAGUGGUACGCGAGCUGGGUUUAGAACGUCGUGAGACAGUUCGGUCCCUAUCUGCCGUGGGCGCUGGAGAACUGAGGGGGGCUGCUCCUAGUACGAGAGGACCGGAGUGGACGCAUCACUGGUGUUCGGGUUGUCAUGCCAAUGGCACUGCCCGGUAGCUAAAUGCGGAAGAGAUAAGUGCUGAAAGCAUCUAAGCACGAAACUUGCCCCGA
rnacentral:rRNA from 2 species